rnacentral:sRNA from 1 species
UAUUAAAGUAAUCUCUUUGGAAGAAAUAUUUCAGAUCUGUAUGAAAUACCAAAUAAAAUAGAUUAUCUUAAAAGUGAACAGUAAUAUUAAAA